ACAGCGCACUGGAUAGCGCGUUGGAAUUCUACUCUAAAGGUCGUGCGUUCGAAUCCCACCUGAAAUG